CUCUACGUCACACUCUCAAAGACACUCUUCAAAUUAGAAUAGAAUUGUUCUUAUAUAAUGUAAAACAAUACAAUAUAAAACCUCUUGCUUUGAUGUAGACGAUAUGACCCAUACAAUAAGGGGAUGUGUUGCAAGAGAGGAAUCAAAAUAUCAUCGUAUAGCUAAUCAAAGACUAAGUCAGUUUUAGCAUCCAGGCUUUGAUUAUUAAAUAGAAGAGGUUUAAUGAAGCAAAAAUGAACUUCUGGAAUAUCUUGGGAACCAAUUGUGGCUGAAAAUUUUAAAAGAAAACAUAAAUGAUCUACUAAGAAUUUUAAAGAAAAGGAAUAAAAACUUGCUAUUCCUUCAAGUGACAAGAAGGGAAAUUUGUUCCACCGCAAUGAUUUAAUUCAAUCGUAGCAUCUGGUUUCUUCUGAAAUGCAUAAAUAAACUUCAGAGUAAGAAUAGAAGGAGGAUGUGGAAUUUGGAGAAGGAGUCUAUCAGAGUGGUGCCAACACCUUUGAAAACCUGCUAUUGCAACAGCACUGUGUCCACAUUACAAGUCAAAUAUAAGCAACGAGCAAUGGUGAUAGAAGGGACUGGUGUCAAGCACAAAUCGAUCUGGAUUAUGUCCUCAUCAUUCCACGGCAUGUGCUCUACAUCCUGGACACCAACAAAUACUCACUGUUCUCCACAGACCAUUGUGGAGUCAGGCACAGACCAUGUGCCUCAGACCAUUUGCCCCAUAUGCUUCUUCUGUCUGAAAUCCUCAAUAUUUUUCUUUUACAUUCAUAUAAACCCAGGCCCAGGCCCAGGCACCACUUAUCUCCACAGAAGCAACCAAGAGAAUCAUUCCCCUGUGUGUUCUUCAAUCAAGAGGGAUAUUUUGUAAAUACAUGUGUAUGUUCCCAUAUUUUACAUACACAUGUCAUAUUAAUUGUUUGUUACCAUGAUCAGGUUAUUAAAGUUUCCA